AUACGUAGGUGGCGAGCAUUGUCCGGAAUUACUGGGCGUAAAGGAUGCGUAGGUGGAUACUUAAGUGGGAUGUGAAAUCCCCGGGCUCAACCCGGGAACUGCAUUCCAAACUGGGUGUCUAGAGUGCAGGAGAGGAAAGCGGAAUUCCUAGUGUAGCGGUGAAAUGCGUAGAUAUUAGGAGGAACACCAGUGGCGAAGGCGGCUUUCUGGACUGUAACUGACCCUGAGGCAUGAAAGCGUGGGUAGCAAACAGGAUUAGAUACCCUGGUAGUCCACGCCGUAAACGAUGGGUACUAGGUGUAGGAGGUAUCGACCCCUUCUGUGCCGUCGUUAACACAAUAAGUAUUCCGCCUGGGGAGUACGGUCGCAAGAUUAAAACUCAAAUGAAUUGACGGGG
rnacentral:rRNA from 1 species